rnacentral:rRNA from 1 species
UACGGAGGGUGCGAGCGUUAAUCGGGAUUACUGGGCGUAAAGGGUGCGUAGGUGGUUUGAUAAGUUAUCUGUGAAAGCCCUGGGCCCAACCUGGGAAGGCCAGAUAAGACUGUUGGACUCGAGUACGGGAGAGGGCAGUGGAAUUUCCGGUGUAGCGGUGAAAUGCGUAGAGAUCGGAAGGAACACCAGUGGCGAAGGCGGCUGCCUGGCCUGAUACUGACACUGAAGCACGAAAGCGUGGGGAGCAAACAGG